GGGCCCGCACAAGCGGUGGAGCAUGUGGUUUAAUUCGACGCAACGCGAAAAACCUUACCUGGGUUUGACAUGCCGAGUACCCGAUGGAAACAUUGGGGUGCCCCGUAAGGGGAACUCGGACACAGGUGCUGCAUGGCUGUCGUCAGCUCGUGCCGUGAGGUGUUGGGUUAAGUCCCGCAACGAGCGCAACCCUCAUCCUUAGUUGCCAUCAUUAAGUUGGGCACCCUAAGGAAACUGCCGCAGUUAAUGCGGAGGAAGGUGGGGAUGACGUCAAGUCCUCAUGGCCCUUAUGUCCAGGGCUACACACGUGCUACAAUGGACGGAACAAAGGGCUGCGAACCCGUGAGGGUAAGCAAAUCCCAGAAAUUCGUUCCCAGUUCGGAUUGGAGUCUGCAACCCGACUCCAUGAAGUUGGAAUCGCUAGUAAUCGCGGAUCAGAACGCCGCGGUGAAUACGUUCCCGGGCCUU
rnacentral:rRNA from 1 species